rnacentral:rRNA from 1 species
UACGUAGGGGGCAAGCGUUGUCCGGAAUUAUUGGGCGUAAAGCGCGUGUAGGCGGUUCGGUAAGUCCGCUGUGAAAGUCGGGGGCUCAACCCUCGGAUGCCGGUGGAUACUGUCGAGCUUGAGUACGGAAGAGGCGAGUGGAAUUCCUGGUGUAGCGGUGAAAUGCGCAGAUAUCAGGAAGAACACCUAUGGCGAAGGCAGCUCUCUGGGACGGUACUGACGCUGAGACGCGAAAGCGUGGGGAGCGAACAGG